rnacentral:rRNA from 1 species
GAUAUGUAGUCUGGCCUGCCCACUGAGUAGUUAAAGGGCCGCGGUAUUUUGACCGUGCAAAGGUAGCAUAAUCAAAUGUUUCUUAAUUGGAAACCGGAAUGAACGGUCGGACGAGAAGUAAGCUGUCUCUUUAAUAAAGCUUGAAUUUUACUUUUAAGUGAAAAGGCUUAAAUAACGUAAGAAGACGAUAAGACCCUAUAAAACUUUACAAGCUGUAAAAGUGUAUCUUAAUUUAAGGUGUAACAGGGCAUUUGUAUAGAUUGUUUUGCUGGGGCGGCAGAGAUAAAAUGAGUAACUGUUUUUAGUGUGAAAAUAUUGAUGUAUAGAAAGUAUGAUCCUGUAUUAUGGAUUAAAAGAGUAAGUUACUUUAGGGAUAACAGCGUAAUUUCUCUUGAGAGUUCUGAUCGACAGAGUAAGUUGCGACCUCGAUGUUGAAUUAAGGUGUUAUCCAGGUGCAGCAGCUUGGAUAGUAGGUCUGUUCGACCUUUAAAACCCUACAUGAUUUGAGUUCAGACCGGCGUGAG